rnacentral:lncRNA from 1 species
AACCACCCUGUAGCUCCGUCCCUGCACGCAACCUUUUCAAAAUAAUUUUACACACAAAUAAAAAGGAGAAAAAGGGGGCCACGGUUUUUUUUCUAAAGACGAAUGUAGGAAAUCCUGAAGGGCACUCUUUCAUUGAACGCUCACUAGCAGGGCUCUCUUUCGCUGCUGGGUCGACUGACAUGGCGAUGGUGUACCGCAAGCCGCAUGCGUUGUAAAUGGCGAUUCUUGGCC